ACCCUGGGGAUAACAGGCUGAUCACUCCCAAGAGUUCACAUCGACGGAGUGGUUUGGCACCUCGAUGUCGGCUCGUCGCAUCCUGGGGCUGGAGCAGGUCCCAAGGGUUUGGCUGUUCGCCAAUUAAAGCGGCACGCGAGCUGGGUUUAAAACGUCGUGAGACAGUUUGGUCCCUAUCUGCCGUGGGCGUAGGACACUUGAGAGAAGCUGCCUAUAGUACGAGAGGACCUGGGUGGACGUACCUCUGGUGCGCCGGUUGUCAGGCCACUGGCAUAGCCGGGUAGCCAUGUACGGAACGGAUAACCGCUGAAAGCAUAUAAGCGGGAAGCCGGUCUCAAGAUUAGGUGUCCCUGCCGCAAGGCACUCAAGGCCCCUUGUAGACUACGAGGUAAUAGGCUGGGUGUGGAAGCGCAGCAAUGCGUGGAGCUAACCAGUACUAAUUGGCACGUGAGGCUUGACCUUAU
rnacentral:rRNA from 1 species